rnacentral:rRNA from 1 species
CGGGGCUCAACGCCUUGUAAUUGGAAUGAUGGGAACCUAAACCCCUUCCAGAGUAUCAAUUGGAGGGCAAGUCUGGUGCCAGCAGCCGCGGUAAUUCCAGCUCCAAUAGCGUAUAUUAAAAUUGUUGCAGUUAAAAAGCUCGUAGUUGAAUUUCUGCCGCAUCGCGGCGGCCCUCCCGGGCCCAGCGUUGCGGCUUAUUUCGGACUCGCUCGCGUCUCCGAAUGUUUACUUUGAGAAAAUUAGAGUGCUCAAAGCAGGCCCUUGCCUUGAAUACUUUAGCAUGGAAUAAUAAAGUAGGACUUUGGUUCUAUUUUGUUGGUUUAGCGCCAAAGUAAUGGUUAAUAGGAACAGUUGGGGGCAUUCGUAUUUAACUGUCAGAGGUGAAAUUCUUAGAUUUGUUAAAGACGAACCACUGCGAAAGCAUUUGCCAAGGAUGUUUUCAUUAAUCAAGAAC